rnacentral:lncRNA from 1 species
AUACCUUUGGCACCACGCAUCGUACCGUUGGGCUGAUUCCACAAUCGAUGGUUCACAUUCUUCGCCGCCCCCGUCUGCCACAGACUUCGAAGAUCCCACGUUCGCAUAUGCGCGAGCAAAGCGAUGGGCCGUGCCGGCACAGCGCGCACAAAU